CAGAGGGAUGGACUUUGUUGGUGGUGCAGGGUAAAUGAAAGAGCCAGUACCAGCCCAAAAAGCCAAGGUGAUCCCAGCUAAGAGGCCUCCAAGAGCACCCUUGGCAAGUGUAGAAAGAUGCUGUUAAAGCAAGAAAUACCUGCACGACUCCUCCCAUCAGCGACGCUGCUGCAGCCAUGGAAGUGCACAGGACACCGUAUAACACGCCUGGAAAAGAUCAGGAAAGAAAAAUAAAACAGACCAGAUGCUGCACUUGAGCUGUCUGAAAAGGCAUGGCUAAUCAGCUUUUUAACAGAGUGUGAUGACUAGGUACUCCAUGACAUAGCACCAUCUGAGAACUGACACCACUGGAGGAGAAACAAUUAAUCUGGAAAUGAUAAUAUAGAAAUUGGGACACAUCUGUAUAGAAGGCUUGGACUAACACUCUUUUGGAAACAAGUGUCUUGGAAUGAGUUUUUUUCCCCUUGGAGUUAUGAGUGAAAUUUGUGAGACUGCUUUUAUAUUGCUCUGAUGGAAACACAGGCAGUGUGAUUGAGCACCUUGCUUACGAAUUAGUAGUAGUAGAGUAACACUCUUGCACUUCA